GAAUUGGUAGCAGUAGACUGGGAAAGGGAUGGUUCAAGGCAGCCUGCAGCAGCAUUUCUGGGUUGGGGUUUUUUAUUUUUGAUGUUUGUUUUUAAUUAUUAUUUGUAGGAAUGCUUUGGAGCCAGGUCAUUGCUGCUGUAAAUCUUCAGAUUUCCAUUGAUGUCUCCAGAGGGGUAGUGUUUUACACCCCCUGAAUAGAUGGUGUUCUUGGUGGAAACGUUGUGGUGUCUUUGGUCUUACAUUGUUUUUAAACAAGGGUGGUUUUGAAAUGCUAACUUUAAUGGUUAAAACUAAUGGUAGGACUCUUUAGGAAAUCUAAAAGCUGGACAUUUUAAAGAAGUAUGGAGAAUUCGAAGAAAAACAUAUGGAUGCAUAAUUGGGUGUUAAAGAUAAAUAGGAAACAGGUUGGGUUUUCUUUGCUAUCAACUUUUGCCACUGGUGGGGUCCUAACUGAACUUUCUACCAUCCCAUUUCCUCUGGAAGUGAUACACUGCACUUAACAGGCAUUCUUCAAAACUUAAUUCAUGUUUGUGAAAUACUGGGAGUGGCCAAGACAAAGUCUUCUACAAGUACCAGGUGCACCAGAACUGUCUGGCAAGUGAGUCUUUAAUGAGAGACUUGAGGAUGAUGGAUUUUUUUAAAAAGGAUAUGAUGAUGGAAGAGCUUGGCCACCUUCCAUGUGAUGGAGCAAUGUAGCCGACUUGUGGGUUGACUUAGGCUUGCAUCACCAUCCUGACCCGGGUUGCAUUGGCAGUCAUCUGGAACUGACUACAUGCCUGAACUGAUAAAAGAUGCUGUGGAAAUAUGGAUCUCUGGGGCCUUUGCAAGAUGCUUGUGCCAUAUCCUGUCUCUUUGUUGCUUGGUCCUCUGGAGGACAAAAGAGUGAGAAUCAGCAGUGUGUCACAUAUCCUGCAAACAGUUUGAGAACUGCUUUGACAGCCAGUGGAAGAAAAUAGUGUGAUGUGGUCACAGCAAGCACGUGUUCUUUCUAACAAUUUACAAUUGCACUAUGAUCCCAUUGAGAGUGAUACUCAAACCUCCCUCUGAUUACCUGUUCUUUUCUCUUGCUGUAACAACAUUGUUUCUUUCCAACACAGGAGUGUUUAUGCAGAAAUGCCAAGAUUCUUUAAACAGAUUACAGGAGGUUUACAAAUUAAGGAAAAACUAGUAUGGAACAAGAGGAAAAUAAUCCCAGCAUUUUGCACUUACUUGUAAUCAAAAUCCUGUCUUUGGAGGGUGUUAUGUCAAAUAUACACUUGGUGAGGCCUAUGAGGAUUUUUCCUGUGUAACGGCAAGAGUUAGCCCUAGCAUAUCACACUAUUCUAAAAAUGGUGUCCAGUAAGCAAUAGGUGGCCACUCUUGGAAAAAAAUCAGGAAAAAAUUGGUGAAACCUGGAUCCUCUACAAUGUCACUUUCACAGUUGAGUGACUGACAAACAAAAGCAAAGAAAAAGACCCAGUGGGCUAAGUCACCAUGAGGUUGGAUUCCCCCUGUUGUGGAAUUGAACAAAAUCCAGCAAUGUUUCCUUCUAUUAGGUCUGAUGUAAAUGCUGUAUGGUAAAGACUAAUUUCUAAAAGUCAGCUGUAAACCUACAGGUCAGCCAAUAAGACAGAGACUUGACACGUUUUUCAUUGUGAAGUGUAUGAUAGUUUCAAUCAACAUCACUGCAGACAGUAUAUUGUUGAAUCCAAUGGAAUUGGAAUCCUGCUAUGAAUUUAAUUGUUUUCCACAAGUAGAACAGAAGCCUUUGAUUUCUAUUAAUUAUGAAUCUAUGUGAAAAGCUAUUUUGUGUGUAUAUAUAUUUAACAACAGGAAAUGUAAAACAUAUUUAUUUUUAUUAAACUAAUAAAAGGGAUAAACC
ensembl:lncRNA